GACGAACGCUGGCGGCGUGCCUAAUACAUGCAAGUCGAGCGGACGAAUCGAAAGCUUGCUUUUGAUUCGUUAGCGGCGGACGGGUGAGUAACACGUGGGCAACCUGCCCUGUAGACGGCGAUAACACCGAGAAAUCGGUGCUAAUACCGGAUAACACGAAAUGUCGCAUGACGUUUCGUUGAAAGACGGCGCAAGCUGUCGCUACAGGAUGGGCCCGCGGCGCAUUAGCUAGUUGGUGAGGUAACGGCUCACCAAGGCGACGAUGCGUAGCCGACCUGAGAGGGUGAUCGGCCACACUGGGACUGAGACACGGCCCAGACUCCUACGGGAGGCAGCAGUAGGGAAUCUUCCGCAAUGGACGAAAGUCUGACGGAGCAACGCCGCGUGAGCGAAGAAGGCCUUCGUGUCGUAAAGCUCUGUUGUUAGGGAAGAACAAGUAACGCAGUAACUGGCGUUACCGUGACGGUACCUAACGAGAAAGCCACGGCUAACUACGUG
rnacentral:rRNA from 1 species